rnacentral:rRNA from 1 species
UUACCGGAGGUAGAGCACUGAAUAGGCUAGGGGGCGAUGAGCUUACUGAACCUUAUCAAACUACGAAUGCCGGAUAAUUGAUGUAUAGCAGUCAGACAGUGUGAGAUAAGUUUCAUUGUCGAGAGGGAAACAGCCCAGACCCACAGCUAAGGUCCCAAAUAUAUGCUAAGUGGAAAACGAUGUGGGGUUGCGAAAACAACCAGGAUGUUGGCUUAGAGGCAGCCACUCAUUAAAAGAGUGCGUAAUAGCUCACUGGUCGAGUGACCCUGCGCGGAAAAUAUAACGGGGCUAAGCAUAUAACCGAAGCUUGGGAUGUCUUAAGACAUGGUAGGGGAGCGUCGAAUACGGGGCGAAGUCGCAUCGGAAGGAGCGGUGGACUGUAUUCGAGUGAGAAUGCCGGAAUGAGUAGCGAGAAUUAUGUGGGAAUCAUAAUGGCCGAAAAUCUAAGGUUUCUUGGGGAAGGUUCGUCCGCCCAAGGUAAGCCGGGAGCUAAGGCGAGGCCGAGAGGCGUAGUCGAUGCACACACGGUUGACAUUCCGUGGCCGCCGAAAUUGUUAAGCACAGGGACACAUAGAGAUAGCCGGAUCCGGGCGUUGGUUGACUCGAGACCGGCGAUGCUCUGUGGCGAGAAAAGCUGUGUGUAUUAAUGAGGCGCCCGUACCGCAAACCGACACAGGUAGAUGAGGAGAGAAUCCUAAGGCCAACGGGAGAAGGGUUGUUAAGGAACUCGGCAAAUUGACCCCGUAACUUCGGAAUAAGGGGAGCCGGCAUAUGCCGGCCGCAGUGAAUAGGCCCAAGCAACUGUUUACCAAAAACACAGGUCUCUGCUAAAUCGAAAGAUGACGUAUAGGGGCUGACUCCUGCCCGGUGCCGGAAGGUUAAGAGGAGGGCUUAGCGCAAGCGAAGGUCUGAAUUGAAGCCCCGGUAAACGGCGGCCGUAACUAUAACGGUCCUAAGGUAGCGAAAUUCCUUGUCAGGUAAGUUCUGACCCGCACGAAUGGCGUAAUGAUUUGGGCACUGUCUCAACAGCCCGCCCGGCGAAAUUGUAGUACUGGUGAAGAUGCCAGUUACCCGCAACUAGACGGAAAGACCCCAUGGAGCUUUACUGUAGCUUAAUACUGAAGAUCGGUAAUGCAUGUACAGGAUAGGUGGGAGCCGUGGAAACCGGGCCGUCAGGUUCGGCGGAGGCGCCCUUGGAAUACCACCCUUGUAUUGCUGGUUUUCUAACCUGCGGCCGUGAAUCCGGUCGGGGGACACUGUUAGGCGGGCAGUUUGACUGGGGCGGUCGCCUCCAAAAGAGUAACGGAGGCGCUCAAAGGUUGGCUCAGCACGGACGGAAAUCGUGCAUAGAGUGCAAACGCAUAAGCCAACUUGACUGCGAGACCGACGGGUCGAGCAGGUACGAAAGUAGGAGUUAGUGAUCCGGUGGUAUGUGAGUGGAAAUGCCAUCGCUCAACGGAUAAAAGCUACCCUGGGGAUAACAGGCUGAUCUCCCCCAAGCGUCCACAGCGACGGGGAGGUUUGGCACCUCGAUGUCGGCUCGUCACAUCCUGGGGCUGAAUUCGGUCCCAAGGGUUCGGCUGUUCGCCGAUUAAAGU